rnacentral:rRNA from 1 species
CAGAGGUGGCAAGCGUUGUUCGGAAUUACUGGGCGUAAAGGGCGCGUAGGCGGCCAUCUAAGUCAGACGUGAAAUCCCCCGGCUUAACCUGGGAACUGCGUCUGAUACUGGACGGCUCGAGUUUGGGAGAGGGAUGCAGAAUUCCAGGUGUAGCGGUGAAAUGCGUAGAUAUCUGGAGGAAUACCGGUGGCGAAGGCGGCAUCCUGGACCAACACUGACGCUGAGGCGCGAAAGCUAGGGGAGCAAACGGGAUUAGAUACCCCGGUAGUCCUAGCCCUAAACGAUGAAUGCUUGGUGUGGCGGGUAUCGAUCCCUGCCGUGCCGAAGCUAACGCAUUAAGCAUUCCGCCUGGGGAGUACGGUCGCAAGGCUG